rnacentral:lncRNA from 1 species
CCUGGGCUUCAAGCUACAUCUCCAUUUAGCAAAAACAAAACCAAUCUCAGCUUUCUCCUCUAAUAGAGCUGGGAAUAUAGGGUUGUACCACCCUGCCCCAUGUACGGUGUUUGGCAUUGAACCCAGGCCUUCCUGCCUGUUUGGAAGACUCUGAUUUCAGUUGGAAACAACAGUGUGCCCACAUGAAAGACUGAAGCUCUCCCCUGAAGAUAACAGUGGUCAAAAGACAGAGCCCGAGUACAGAUCUCAUGAAAGUUCUUUAAAGGGCAGUGACAGUGCAGUCACCUCUUGUCAUCUUGGCCUUUCC